rnacentral:rRNA from 1 species
AAUGAUGGCGACCGGCGCACGGGUGAGUAACGCGUAUCCAACUCCCCCCACAGUAGAGGAUAGCCCGGCGAAAGUCGGAUUAAUACUCUAUGUUGUAUUUCGAGGACAUCUGACGAAUACCAAAGAUUUAUCGCUAUGGGAUGGAGAUGCGUCUGAUUAGGUAGUCGGCGGGGUAACGGCCCACCGAGCCAUCGAUCAGUAGGGGUUCUGAGAGGAAGGUCCCCCACAUUGGUACUGAGACACGGACCAAACUCCUACGGGAGGCAGCAGUGAGGAAUAUUGGUCAAUGGGCGCGAGCCUGAACCAGCCAAGUAGCGUGCAGGACGACUGCCCUAUGGGUUGUAAACUGCUUUUAUGCGGGAAUAAAGUCAGGUACGUGUACCUGUUUGUAUGUACCGCAUGAAUAAGGACCGGCUAAUUCCGUGCCAGCCGCCGC